rnacentral:rRNA from 1 species
GACGAACGCUGGCGGCGUGCCUAAUACAUGCAAGUUGAGCGCUGAAGGUUGGUACUUGUACCAACUGGAUGAGCAGCGAACGGGUGAGUAACGCGUGGGGAAUCUGCCUUUGAGCGGGGGACAACAUUUGGAAACGAAUGCUAAUACCGCAUAAAAACUUUAAACACAAGUUUUAAGUUUGAAAGAUGCAAUUGCAUCACUCAAAGAUGAUCCCGCGUUGUAUUAGCUAGUUGGUGAGGUAAAGGCUCACCAAGGCGAUGAUACAUAGCCGACCUGAGAGGGUGAUCGGCCACAUUGGGACUGAGACACGGCCCAAACUCCUACGGGAGGCAGCAGUAGGGAAUCUUCGGCAAUGGACGAAAGUCUGACCGAUCAACGCCGCGGGAGUGAAGAAGGUUUUCGGAUCGUAAAACUCUGUUGGUAGAGAAGAACGUUGGUGAGAGUGGAAAGCUCAUCAAGUGACGGUAACUACACAGAAAGGGACGGCUAACUACGUG